AUGGGACCAACAUGCUCCAGUAAUUUUUUACGUUUCGCCAACCUCACAGCUGAAAUGCAAUCACUGGAAAUCAAUAUUCUGAAAGGUUAUCCAUACGAACAUCCUACAAUGAUUGAUAUGGUAACAAGAUCCCCUCAGAAUUUGGCACAAAAUCUUGUAUCACUUCUAAGAGGUUUUGAAUGGGGACAAGUUGGGGCUGUACUCUGUGAAGAAUGCUAUGAAGGUGACGAGCUGGCCAGUGAAAUAUACUUUUCUACCAUUGAAGAUAUUUUUGAAAAUAAUAAUAUUGCGUUGAAAGAGACCGUAAGAAUUGGAAAAAGAGAGAACAGUGUCAAUAUCUCUGAUGCAAUCACAAUUUUUGAACCUUCUGCAAGAGUUAUUCUCUUGUUUCUUGGUAACAAAUUAAAUGACUACACCGAAUUUAUGACAGCUAUGAGUAUGAAUAAUUAUACAACAGAAGAGUACACUCCAGUGAUUGUAAUCUCAAAAAAUUCAUUGGAGCUCACAUUCCCGUGGAAAGAAAACGAUGCAAUUGCUGAGUUGUUCGAUAAAGCUAUCAUUGUUUAUAACAAUUGUUAUGAUAAAUCAAAGAUAUCAUCGUUCCUGUCUUCAUACUCAUUUUCAACCAUAGAAGAAACAAUAAUUUCUCUUCAAAUGUACGAAGGAUAUCAUCUACUCGGUUAUUAUCUAUAUACAGCUAUCACAAAUACAACAUUGUUUAAUUAUGUUCAACCAGAAAAAGCAAUAUCUUCAAUGAGUAUUCCAGGUCCAUUCGGAGAGAUUUUUAUCAACUCAAAUGGACAGAGAAUUGCAGGUUACGAUGUUCUCGUAGUCGACAAAUCACUAAAUUCAAAUAACUUCAUAAUGCCACUCGGCACAAUAUCAACAGAUAAGAAAUGCCCUGAUCAAGCAUGUCUGAAUUUUGUCUUAAACUCGACAUCUUCAUUCGAGCCAUUGAAGGACGUGCCGUUAUGUGGUUUCCAUGGAGAGAUUUGCGAUCAGACUGGUGUGAUCAUUGCAAUUGCUGUUAUUAUGGGUGUUCUAUUGAUGUUUAUUAUUAUAUUAACAACAAUACGGAAGUGUUGCAAUGGCAGCAAAGGAAGAUCAAUCAGUAAUCCAUGGGUAAUCCCUUUUCAGGAUGUUCGUUUCAUUGACCUCACGAAUACAGAAGGGAGUCAGCAUAUGUCGAUUCAAAGUCUGCAAAGAAAUAUGGAAGAAAAACAGAGACUUCAAUCAUUGGCAAGAACAAAACAUAUUGCUACAGUAGAUCAAGUUUAUGUACUUGCUGAUAAAUAUGUAAUGCGUGACAAGCUGAGAUAUGAUAAAAUUGACAUAAAUCUACUCUAUCAGGUGACAUGAAAUCCCAUUUACAACAUGAUAAUCUUAACAGUUUUGUUGGAAUAACUAUUGAUAAGGCAUCCCAUAUGUAUAUUAUUUGGAAUCAAUGUUUCAGAGGUAGCUUGCAUGAUCACAUAUUCACAAAAGAACGACAACGUGGAACUGCCACAAGAUUUGAAGGAUUAUUUUUGAGAGAUAUUUUAAAAGGAUUAGAAUAUAUUCAUGCAAGUGCUAUCGAUUUUCAUGGUAAUCUGACUUUACAUAAUUGUAUGCUCGAUUCUCAUUGGAUUGUCAAAUUGAGUGGUUUUGGUGUUAACCGUCUUCUUGUUAAAUGGAAAACAAGCGGCCAAAUAUUCACAGAAGAUCACACUCCAGUCAUCAAGUCAGAAGAACUGCAUUAUUUUGAUCCUGCUAUGAAAAAAAUAUGGAAAAAUUAUGCGGAUCGGAAUGAAAGAGCCUUGAUUACUCCACAAUUUGGUAAAAAGUGCGACAUGUAUUCAUUUGGUGUCAUUUUACAUGAGAUUAUUUUGAAAAAGAAGUUUGUAGAGCAACUUUUUGAUUCUCCGAGAGAAGAAGAUGACAGUGUACUGAUUGAUGAUGAAAACGAUGCAAUUGCUAGCAGAUUUCCGCUUCCAAUUAUAAUUCCAGAAGGCAUUGAAAUGCACAAUGACCUUAUUAAAAUGCUUGAAAAUUGCUUUGGCUCCGUUCGUCCUGAUAUUGCAUUAGCAAGAAAAAUCAUCGAUACGGUUCUUAAAAUGUCAGGAUCACUUGUUGAUUUGAUGAUUAAGAAUCUGACAGCAUACACUCAAGGAUUGAAUGAAACUGUGAAGAAUAGAACGGCAGAAUUGGAAAAAGAACAGGAAAAAGGAGAUCAACUUCUGAUGGAACUUCUUCCAAAAUCUGUGGCUAAUGAUUUGAAAAAUGGAAUAGCAGUUGAUCCAAAAGUUUAUGAAAAUGCAACGAUUCUUUAUUCGGAUAUUGUUGGAUUUACUUCUUUGUGUUCACAAAGCCAACCAAUGGAAGUCGUUACUUUAUUAUCUGGAAUGUAUCAAAGAUUUGAUUUAAUUAUCAGUCAGCAAGGAGGAUAUAAGAUGGAAACAAUUGGAGAUGCAUAUUGUGUAGCUGCUGGUUUACCGGUGGUAAUGGAAAAGGAUCAUGUGAAGAGCAUUUGUAUGAUUGCUUUACUUCAAAGAGAUUGCCUCCAUCACUUUGAGAUUCCCCACCGUCCCGGUACAUUUUUGAAUUGUCGAUGGGGCUUCAACUCUGGGCCAGUGUUUGCUGGUGUUAUUGGGCAAAAGGCUCCAAGAUAUGCUUGUUUCGGAGAAGCUGUUAUAUUAGCUUCAAAAAUGGAAAGCUCUGGAGUGGAGGAUAGAAUUCAAAUGACAUUGGCAAGCCAACAAUUGCUAGAAGAAAAUUUUCCUCAAUUUGUGUGUAGUAACAGAGGAGGCCGUACUAUUGAAGGAAUUGGUCGUAUUUUAACGUAUUGGCUGGAAGGAGUAAAUGCAGGAGAACAAGUUAAAGUUGUUGAAUUCCAAAAUGAUUUGAACGACGAACUUUCAAGAAUAAUGAAAAAAGAUGGAGAGCUUUUAGCUGCAGCAACAGCAUUAAAACCAAAAGACAAAAUGACGUUGGCGAAAGAAAAAGUGAUAGCUGAACGAAAAAAUGAAGAAGAACGACUCCAACGACAGCAGACAUUACAGGAAGCAUUGGAAGAACAUGAAGAAGAGAUAGAAAUGAAUGAAGUACUGGUGGAUGAGGAUGAAGGUGAAGGAAAACCAAAAGAAGUUGAUCUGACAAGUAUUGUAAGUACCCAAAUGGAAGAGCUAGAAGAUGAACCAGCAGGUCGAACAAUUGGACAUGGAAGGCUUGAUAGUCAAGCUUCAACUAUUCCAGAUAACUAG
rnacentral:misc_RNA from 1 species